AGUCUGCUUUCGGUUUGGCCAUCGCGAACGCGCGCCGAGCUCAGUAGGAGCGCGGCGUUCACGACGUGCGCUUCGCUAACGGCGAUCACGCGGUCGUCGUCCUCGAAGUCGUCGCCCCGAUCGAGUUUCCGGCUACCGUGGGGAACCGCGCUACGAAUCGCCGCGUCAUAAAAACAACACCGUGCUAGUCCUACGGUCGACGGAAGGGCAGAGAGAACUUCGUCGAAGGGUCGGGGGCGCGCAAAGGAUCAGCCUGUCCUCGUUGACUAUCGACGCCUGGAUCCCAACUUGGAUACUGUUGCGGCGGCGACUGGAUAACGAGAACAGGAUCAUCGCGAUGUGAUCGGGAGGAAUGAGUCCAGAAGAUUUCGUGGGUCCGCGAGAGACAAGCUCGAUGCUCGAGGAGAGCCUGCGCAGUCGGUGAACCCUGACCGCGAGGCAGCGGGUGCGUGACUGCAAGGAUGCGCGUACGCAGGAGACGGUGCGUGAUGUCCCGGUGACGACGACCACGACGACGAGGGCGAGGACGAACGCGAUCAUCACGACACACGUAAGCUCGCACGGAUUCGCUCACUCAUUAACGAACCUACGCGCGCGCUCACGCACCGAGAAGAGAUAGAGACAGAAAGAGAGAAAGAGAGAGAGAGAGAGAAAGGGAGAGAAAGAGAGAAAAGAGCGAAAUACCGUCGAUGCCGCGAUGAGGCUGGGUCCGAUUGUCCUGUCGUGGGUCACAGCCACGGCCAGUUGGCUGUGCCUGGCGGAAGCGCGAACGCCGCGCUCCAGGGACUACGAGCUCUCGACGGAGUUCUUCCUGGUGCCGUCCGAGAUCGGCCACGGCUUGGCGAGCGUGGCGAGCGUUAUCAGCGUACCAGCUCCGAACCGGACGGUCACCGUGUUCCGGACACCGCCGAGCAGGAAGGGCCAGUUGGAGCACGAGGUAGAAAUGCGACCAACGACGCCGCGGUCCUUGCUGAAACAGCGGCCUUGGGCGCUGCCGUUGGCCGCGCUUAGCGCGGCCGCGAUGCUCCUCAUGGCCGGUUUUGAGGUCUUCGUGCUGCUCAAGGCCAGGGCGACGGCGCCGAACAGACGACACCUGUUCCUGGGCCAGGCGUUGCUCCUUGGCCUCUUCCUCUUGGCAGGACUAUCGGCCGCGGCGUCGCUCAGCCAAAAUCCGCUGUCCUGCGCCGCCUUCCGACUGGUGGGUUUGCCGGCCGCCCUCGUGUUCGCCGCGCUGUUGGUCAAAUGCGUCUUCUUGCUCUCGUUGAACAGCGGCGUGUACCUGCCGGCGCCUUAUCAGGCUUCUUCUUACCGGUUGCUGCUGCAGGCGCUGGUGCUGGUGUUCGCGGUGUUGGUGCAGGUGGCCAUUGUCGGGCAAUGGUUUUACGGCGAACCACCUGCGGUGAUCCAGGUGCAAGGCGCGGGCCAAAGCUCGCCAGCAUCAUCCACCUCCUGCAAGACUCCGCUCGGACAGAUAGUGGCUUCCCUCGGGUAUCCUGGAGCGCUGCUGGUGGCGGUGGCCUGCUUGGCGGUGCGGGCACGUGGCGUGCGCGACAAUAAUCGGGAAGCGGCCUUCAUCGGAUUGGCGGUCGGCCUCUCGUUGCCGAUUUGGAUUUCCAGCGGCAUCGGCUCGAUCGUGGCCGGCAGCGAGGGCGACCGCGAGGCUUGGCUGGCCUACGGUCUCUUGGCUACGUCCCUCUUCGUCUUCCUCACGAUGUUCCUGCCGAAGGGCCGGCAACUGGCCGCCCUGGGUCGCGAGGGACCCGCGACGGUGAUCCGCGACCGCGACGACGCCCUCAGCUCGUUGCCCGGCAGCGGCUACUCGCCCUCCUUCUUCCACUUCAAGCCCGCCGAGGCGUCGCUCAAGAGGAAGAUGCAUUACCACAGCGCCGAUCGAGUCGCACUGGUCUCGUCCGGGAUACCCGGAUGCAGCGCCUGCAGGCACGGAGGAAGUCCUAUAUACUCCGAUGAUGUGCACGGGCCCAUGGAGACUUUCGUUCUGCCACCCGGCAUGUACCUGAGGCCGGAGGACGCCGGGAACCUCUACACGACCUUGUCGGCCAAUCCCAACGUGUUCUUCCAGAGAGCGGCCCAUCCUGGGAUGAUGUACUGAUAAGGCGGACCAUUCCGUGCGAAUUCUUCGCCCCGAUAUCGCCGACCGACACAAGAUCGGGCCGAGCCUUUGUAUCGCGCUUUAGAUUAGAUUACGGAAACGAUAAAGCGAUUGUUCUUCGGUGUAAAUAAUCGUUGUUGUUAGAUCCUAUUAAGUGCGUCUCGAGGUACGUCGAGGCGCGAUUCUACGGACUCUUUUUGUAACGCGAAGGUGGAUGAUCGUGCGAGUGUGCUUCGCGAGAAAUACGUGUGCGAUACGUUGCAGAGCGACGCGAUUGAUUAGUGACUUAGUCGAGAAUCGUCGACGAAUCCCGUGAGCCGACGGGAAAGUGUGUGCCUCCAAGAUAACUCAAUAAACGCAGUCAACAAUAUGGCGCCAUAGUGAUACGUUGCAUUACGCGAUCGGCCGCACAUAUGUUUUUCGCGCCAAUGAAAGCCACGAGUCUCGUUGGUGGAACGUUCGGUAGUCCGCUCGGGACCAACAUUGCCGGGUGAAA